AUGAGGCGGGCCGGUGGCUUCUGCGACUCCCCCGCCCCGCCCCCUGGGCGGAGUCUAAGGCAAUACUCUGCGGGCGUCAGCUAGAACGCCUUUCUCACUAAGACCCGCCCCCAGGAUCUUUGACUAAUCAUCGCACAGGGGCGGGCACCAGUGGGUGACGUCACCAUGACGCGCUACUCCACGGCGACCAUCUUUAUUCCUGGUGGCCGCUAUCUGAGGCCUGCGACGGUACUUCUACUUGAGUUGCUGUGCGAGCCGCCGCCGCAGCUCCGACUCUACGUCAUCAGGAGAGGCGGCGCUCGCUGCAAAAGACUAAGGGCGAAAGGGAGAGGGAAGCUGGUGCAGGGGGACGCCCCGGAAGUGGGAGUUCCGCUUGGCUGAGGGGUGGGGCCAAAAGUCUGUUUACGACCGGCUGGCUGUUUUUCGCAGGCUCGGUUUUGAUCUGGCGCAUGCGUACUUACAGCUUCCCAAGGACCAACUCCGGAGGGGAGGCGGGCCGUUGCUAUGGUGAUGGAUGCUCUCGAAAUUCCCUGGGGAUCCGCGUGCUGAUCUCGGAUGCUGCUCGUGGGCUGGACACUCAAGGAGGGAAUGGGCACAGAAAACCAAGAUACUACCAGUUCUGAGAAGGAGGAACACUUCCAUCAAGAUAUAUUCCCAGUGAAAAAGCAGUGCCAAGGCAAUAGUAUCCAAGUCUUCAACAUAACUUUUCCAUGCAGAGGAUGGAUGUUUCAUGGAGAAAGCACAAAAGGAAAUCUUAAAUUGGUACAUAAGUUAUGUGAGCACAAUUUAGUUUGCUUAAAAAAAGUUAAAGGUAUGAUUCCUGUGAAAACAGUGGGUGGUAGACAAAAACUGGAGGCCAUAUGAAAUCAGCACAAAUAAUAUUUAUAAGGUUUAUAAGGUAUGAGAUUUAAAAAAAAAACCCAAGACUCAUCUGGUUCUCUUAAUAUCACAGAAUUGGAGAAUCUAGUCCAAUCUCCACGUGAAAGGAAUCCAGGAAUUCCUAAUGUUGCAUAGCUGACAACCAUCUUUGGAGACAGACAGGGCGUUCCACUUUGGAACAGCUCUAAUUGUUAGGAGGUUUUUCCUAAUGUUGAGCCUAAAUUUGCUUCUUUGCAAUUUUCCCCUUUGCUGCUGAUUGUUUGGCUCUCUGAGGCCAAAUGGAAUAAGUCUUUAGUCUUCCCUCCACAUGACAGCCUUCCAAAUAUUUGAGGACACCGCUGAUGUCUCUGAAGUCCUCCCAUUUUCAUCAGCUGUUCCUCAUUCAGUGAGAACUCCAGAUCCUGCAUCAUCCUGGCUGUCUUUCUCUAACCAUUCUUCAGCUCAUCAAUCUCCCUCUUCCACUAUGGUGCCCAGAAUAGACUAAAGAACUAGAGAGAAGGGCAGAAUACAAGCAUUUUUUUCUUCCUAGAAGGCUGUGAAGCUCAAAGCGCAUUAGCCGUUUUUGUAUGUAUUUUGAAAAUAAAAAGCUAUUAUUUUAUUUUAUUUUUUCUUAAAUUAUCUUUUUAUUUUUUAAUUAAGGAUUUUUAUUUUCAAAAUAUAUAUAUGGAUAGUUUUCAACUUUCACCCUUACCUUGUGUUCUAAUUUUUUUCCCUCCCUUUCUCCUACCCCCUCCCCUAGAUGACAAGUGAUCCAAUGUCUGUUAAACAUGUACAAUUCUUUUAUAUAUAUAUAUUUCCACAAUUAUGUUGUACAUGAAAAUCAGAUAAAAAGGAAAAAUGAGAAAGAAAAUAAAAUACAAGCAAACAACAAAAAGAGUGAAAUUACUAUGUUGUGGUUCACAUGCAGUUCCCACUGUUCACUCUCUGGGUGCAGAUGAAAAAGAUGUUAUUUUUUUUUUAAGUAUAGGUUUUUAUUUUCCAAAGUAUAUGCAAAGAUAAUUUUCAACAUUCACCCCUGCAAAACCUUAUGUUCCAAAUUUUUCUCUCUCCUUCCCCUCCCCCAGCUCCCCUAGACAAAAAGUAAUUGAAUAUAGGCUAAACAUGUGCAAUUCUUCUAAAUAUAUUUCCAUGUUUGUCAUGCUGAACAAUAAAAAUCAAAUCAAAAGAGAAAAAUGAGAGAAAAAAUAAGCAAGCAAAAAACAGCAAAAAAGUGAAAAUACUAUGUUGUGAUCCACUGUCAGUUCCCACGGUCUUUUCUUUGGAUGUAGAUGGCUCUCUCCAUCACAAAUCGGAAUUGGCCUGAAUCACCACACUGUUGAAAGGAGCCAAAUUGUCACAGUUGAUCAUCACAUGAUCUUAUUGUUGCCAUGUACAAUAAUCUCUUGGUUCUGCUCACUUCUGUCAGCAUCAGUUCAUGUCAGUCUCUCCAAACCUCUCUGAAAUCAUCCUCCUGAUCGUUUCUUUUAGAACAAUAAUAUUCCACAACAUUCAUAUCCCAUCACUUAUUCAACCCUUCCCCAACUGAUGGGCAACUACUCCAUUUCCAGUUUCUUGCCACUACAAAAAGGGCUGCCACAAACAUUUUUGCACAACUGGGUCCUGUUUCCUUUUUUAUGAUCUCUUUGGGAUACAGACCCAGUAGAAACACUGCUGGAUCAAAGGGUAUGCACAGUUUGAAAACCCUUUGGGCACAGUUCCAAACUUCUCUCCAGAAUGGUUGCAUCAAUUCACAGUUUCACCAACAAUGCAUCAGUGUCCCAGUUUUCCCACAUCUCUUCCAGCAUUUAUCAUUAUCUUUUCCUGUCAUUUUAGCCAAUCUGGGAGGUGUGAAGUAGUACCUCAGAAUUGUCUUAAUUUAUAUUUCUGUAAUCACUCAUUACCUCUUUUGGCAACUGACUCCUAACAAGCUUCCAGCCUACUAAAACCCCCAGCUUUUUCAGAACAGCUGUUGGCUAAUCAACCCUCCCUCUGUGCUUGUGAAAUGGUGAAAUUGUGUAUGGGCACAAGAAUAGGACUUGACAUGUAUCCCUCCUGAAUUUUAUUUUGUUAUGUUCAAACCAAUUUUCUUCUUUAUGUAAAUCUUCUUGUACCCUUAGUUUUGAUGGAGCAUAUUACCCACCCCUCCCAGGUUGGAGUCCUCUGCUCAUUUGGUCCGUGUGCCAUCUUUGUUUUUAUCCAAGUCAUUAACCAAAAUGCAAAGCACAGACCCCUGAAGCACUCUCCUGGAGAUCUCUGACUGCAUUGAAGCUGAAUUCUUAACAUUUAUUCUUUUCGUCCAGUCAUUCAAGUCCUCCUGAAUUCAUCUGUUUGUCUACUCCAAUUCUCUCCUCCUUAUCAAUAAAAAUAAAAUGAAACACUUUAUCAAAAACUUUGAUAAAAUCUAGACAAAUUAUACCCACAGCAUUCCCUAAUCUACUAGUUUAGUAGACAUGUCUGAAAAGGAAAGAGAGUUAGUGUGGAAUGACUUUUUAAAAAAUUUAUUUGUUUAUUUAAAAUUAUCUCUUCCAUUCCCCCCCUACUCAAUUGAACAAUAAAACCAAACUCACAUAGUCCAAUAAAGCCAAUUUCAAGUUGGUCAUGUCCAAAAAUGUUUGUCUCCUUCUGGAUUUCAAGCUUCUCACCUUGGGGUCAGAGAUGUGGUUCUCGUCAAGGCCUCUGGACUUGUAGUUUAUAAAUUCCAUUAGAGUUCCAAGUCUUUCCAAGUUUUCAUCACAAUUCUGCUCCAGGGGGAUUCAAAUCAGUUAAAAUCCAUUCAGAGAUUUCGGUUCCCUAUGAAACUGAGAAUUUUUUUAGGCAAAAAUUUACCAAUUUCAUAUAAAUCCAUAGUGAAGUGACAUAUUCAGGAGAAAGCCCAGCUGCCUCUUGCUCAUCACUGCUCCUCUUUCCAGGUAUUCCCAACCCUUUCCUUAAUGACUUGGUCUAGAGUUUUCCCAGCAUUGAAGUUGGGCUCAAUGGCCCAUAGUUGGCAGCUUUGGUUCACUUUCCUUUUUUGAAAAGCAGAACAGCAUUUACCCUCCUCUAAUCCUUUGGUGUCGCUCCCAUUUUUCACAAUCUUUUGCAAGUUUUUGACAAUGGCGCAGCUUUCACAGCUACCAGAUCUUUCAGGAUCCAUGAGUGUAGUUCAUUGAGGGUAUGGGAUUUGAACUCACUAAGGACACUCCCUGAGUAUCUCCUUACUGAUCUUGGACAUCAAUUCCCUUUAGUCACUUUUGUCUCAUCUCUUCCAAGAUUAAGGUCAUUCUCCUUCACAGAGACAGAGAAACAAGUUAGAACUGAGAUGACCCGUCUUCUCUUGGCCAUCACUAACAUUGGCUCAUCUAUCCCAAGAAAAGCUCCUAUAUCUUCCUCAGUCUUCUUUCUUUCUCCAAAUAUAGCUCGAUUGAUAAAGAAUGGAUUUUAAAAGUAAAUUUUUGGGGUUUUUGGUCAACUUCAUAGGUACCUUUUAUUUUUAUUUAAAUUAGAUUUUCAAAGUAUUAUCCUAUAUAUAAAAGGGGGGAAAAUUCAGUGCCUAAGCAAUACAUCCAAAAAGUCUUAACGUUAUACAUAGUGUUUCACACCCACAGUUUCCCCCUUCCCCACAAAGAAGCUGAGAAAGAUGCCUUUUUAUAUCCCAUUGUUGGGACCAAGCUUGGUCACUAUUUUUUGAGGGCAUCCAGUUUCAAUCAUUUCGUGGUUUUUCUUUCCAUUGACAUUGUUGUAAUUAUGUCCAUUGUAUUCCUGGUUCUGCUGUCUUCACUUUGUAUAACUUUGUUAUACUUGUUAUAACUACCUGUAUAACUCUGGGCAGGUCACUCACUGGGCCACAGUCUCCUUAACUGCAAAAUAAGAAAAUUGAACUUAAUAACCUCUAAGGUAGGAACUUUUAUCUUGAGGCCCAUGAAUUUUUAAAGGAACAUUUUAAUAGCUAUAUUUCAACAUAAUUUAUUUCCUUGUAAUACUUUGUUUUUCAUUUUUAUUUUAUUUUACAAAUUAAAAAAAAAACAUUUUUCUGAGAAGAGGUCUAGAGGCUUACAUCAGUCGGGUGGUACAGUGGAGAGAAUGCUGGACUUGAAAUCAAGAAGACCUGGAUUCAGAUCCCACCUUUGAUAGAUGAUCCCUGGUAGGCUGACUGGUAGUACCAUCCUCCACAGGGUUUGGUGAGGUUCAGAGAAGAUCUCACAUGUCAAAAGGAAACCAUCAGAGAGAUAUCAGCUCUUUACUCCGAGGUGCUAGAAGGCCAUUUGGGCCAAUUUCGCUGAAAAGAAUAAGCUCGCUGUAUCCUGCUCACUCGUGAUCCUCAAUGCUUAGAGAUAAGGGAUGUGUGUGGGGGGAAUUCACAGCCUCUAUUUCCUUUCAAGAACAGCCUCUACUUUCAAGGUGCUCUAAGUUGUUUGAUUCUUUAAAUAAAUAAAUAAACAAGGUUUUAG
rnacentral:lncRNA from 1 species